rnacentral:rRNA from 1 species
UACGGAGGGUGCAAGCGUUGUUCGGAAUUACUGGGCGUAAAGGGCGCGUAGGUGGUUGUGUAAGUCAGAUGUGAAAUCCUCAUGGCUCAACCUGAGAACUGCAUCUGAUACUGCAUGACUCGAGUGCAGCAGAGGGAAACGGAAUUCCUGGUGUAGAGGUGAAAUUCGUAGAUAUCAGGAGGAACACCGGUGGCGAAGGCGGUUUCCUGGGCUGACACUGACACUGAGGCGCGAAAGCGUGGGUAGCAAA